GAUGAACGCUGGCGGCGUGCCUAAUACAUGCAAGUCGAACGGAAAGGCUUUGCUAUCGUGUGGUGCCCGAGUGGCGAACGGGUGUGUAACACGAGAGUAACCUGCCCAUGACUGUGGGAUAACUACAGGAAACGGGGGAUAAUACCGGAUAGGAGCUCAUGCCGCAUGGUGGUGGUUGGAAAGUUUCGGCGGUUGGGGAUGGACUGGCGGUUUAUCAGCUUGUUGGUGGGGUAGUGGCUUACCAAGGCGGUGACGGAUAGCCGACCUGAGAGCGUGACCGGCCACAAUGGGACUGAGGUACGGACCAGAAGCCUACGGGAGGCAGCGGUCGAGAGUAUGACACAGUAGGCGGGAGCCUGAUGCAGCAACGCCGCGUGCGGAAUAACGGCCUUCGGGUUGUGAACCGCUUUCGCCUGUACCGUAGCGUGAGUGACGGUAAUGGGUAAGGAAGCACCGGCUAACUACGUG
rnacentral:rRNA from 1 species